UACGAAGGGGGCUAGCGUUGUUCGGAAUUACUGGGCGUAAAGCGCGUGUAGGCGGGUCUUUAAGUCAGGGGUGAAAUGCCAAGGCUCAACCUUGGAACUGCCUUUGAUACUGGAGACCUUGAGUCCGGGAGAGGUGAGUGGAAUUGCGAGUGUAGAGGUGAAAUUCGUAGAUAUUCGGAGGAACACCAGUGGCGAAGGCGGCUCACUGGUCCGGUACUGACGCUGAGGUGCGAAAGCGUGGGGAGCAAACAGG
rnacentral:rRNA from 1 species